GCUGGUUGGUGGCGCUUCUCCCUGUUACGGGCGAAGAGAUUACGCAUAGCCAUUUUCUGACAUGCAUAUCCUGAAGCCCGCUGAUAGCGGGCUUUUUUAU
rfam:Dickeya dadantii 3937, complete genome.